GAUCUAAUUAACCCUCUCUAAUUAACCAUCACUUCUCUCCCUUCCUCCACACAACCUCAAUGUCGCAGCCCUAGCUUUGCCGUCGCAUUUCAGCCGCAUGUCGCCGCCGUUCCGCCGCUGCCGUUAACGAUCGCUCAAGCUGAGCGUAAAUCUGAUGAUGAUCGCCGGAGAAGCUCUGGAAUCAAACAUCACGGUGAUCGGACCGCUCGUUCUCCAAGCAAUUGCUCAUUGCACAUCCCCUAAUCAAAUCGAAGACGUACAUCCGCGAUUUCACAUCAUCGCUUCACUACGUAUCCAUCUCAUCAAGCGAAGAAAGGUUAUCUGAUAAUGACAUACUGGAUUCCGGAUGGACCUUUCUUGCUUUCUUCUAAUGCUAGUCAUUAUGUUGAAGUUGGCUCCUUUGUAAUCAAUCAUAAAGAUGAGUGGUACAAGAAAAACAUACUACUCCAGAUCUUCUUCAUCUUUGGAAAAUACCCACUGGUUUAAUUCUUGAGAAAUUUACUGUCUCGUUCCAUACAAGUGCUAGUGGUACAAGAAAAACAUACUACUUCAGAUCUUCUUCAUUUCUGGAAAAUACCCAAUGGUUUCAUUCUUGAGAUGAUGUGCUAGCUCACAACACAAUAUGGCAAUGAUGGUGAUGGAGAUCGUUGAGAGUGGGAACAGAUAUAUUUUUGUUGAGGAAACUCCAUCACAAUAUGGUGGACUAAGCAAAGGAGACUUUGAAGCAGCUGAUAGUGUGAAUGAGAUUAUUGUGAAACCUUCAGCUCAACACAUUGUUGAAUUUUCUACCAAUCAGUGGAGUUGCUGGUUAUAUUGAAUCAGAAGACAAAUAGAUUGUUGUAAUCUUAUUUGAACUGCUACGACUAAGUACAUGACAUUGAUUACAUAUUUACAUGUAAGAAAUUGUAAUUCAUUAUUUUAGCUUUCACUACCAACUAGAACAAAAAUGUGACUGAGAUAAUCUGUUCAAUAUUUUUUCCCAA